GCCAGUGUGGUGUAGUGGUUUGAAGGUUGGGCUAUGUCUCCGGAGACCAGGGUUCAAAUCCCAGCUUGGCCA